ACUAAAUUACUUGAGUUUACUUGGGUUACUAUCAUCUUGUACAGAAUUUUUUUCUGUCACUUCCUAGGUAAUGAGACAUUUUAACAGUAGAUUUUGAACUAAUUCACAGAACUGCACAGAGACCAAACUACAGCUUGCAUUCCUUGGCUGCUCUAGAUGUGCAAAUUGCAGUGGAGGCAGGAACCCCCUUGUGCCUGACAACCAACCUGUGAGUACCUGUCUUGGACAAGGACUGUGCUGCCUUCCUCCGUGCAUUUCUCACUUCCAUCCUGGAUCACUGCACGCGUUCUCAUCAGGACAAAGGUAAUCUGAGCUAAUUCAGAAGUGUGCACCUGUACUCUGUAUUGUAUCACACACAGAUAAUGGCGUGGCAUGGGGGUUAAUCAAUGUAAUGCCUGCCUCAGUAAAAAGCCAGUAAAAACUAAAUGCAGUGAACCUA